rnacentral:rRNA from 1 species
AACGAACGCUGGCGGCGCGGCUAAGACAUGCAAGUCGAACGGUAGGUUAUAGCAAUAUGGCCUAUAGUGGCGGACGGGUGAGUAAUAAAUAGGUAACGUACCCUGGGCACGGGGAUAGCGUCGUCCCGAGCAAUCGGGGCUUUGCGAAAGUGACGGUAAUACCCGGUAAUGUCUUCGAGUGGCAUCACUCGAAGACCAGAGGUGGGGACCUUCGGGCCUAUCGGCCUGGGAGCGGCCUAUUUCCUACAGCUAGUUGGUGAGGUAACGCUCACCAAGGCUUCGACGGGUAACCGGACUGAGAGGUCGGCCGGUCACAGUCGGGACUGAGACACUGCCCGGACAUCUACGGAUGGCUGCAGUAACGAAUAUUCCGCAAUGGGCNCAAGCCUGACGGAGCGACGCCGCGUGGAGGACG